rnacentral:rRNA from 1 species
GUGAAGCGAAAGCGGAAUGACCUGUUAAGUCAGAGCCAGCACAGGUGCUGCAUGGUUGUCGUCAGCUCGUGCCGUGAGGUGUUGGGUUAAGUCCCGCAACGAGCGCAACCCUCGUUGCCAGUUAAUUUCUCUGGCGAGACUGCCCGCAAGACGGGAGGAAGGUGGGGAUGACGUCAAAUCAGCAUGGCCCUUAUGCCUGGGCUACACACACGCUACAAUGGGUGGUACAAUGCGAUGCAAUGGAGUGAUUCGGAGCAAAUCGUAAAAACCAUCCCCAGUUCAGAUUGCAGGCUGAAACCCGCCUGCAUGAAGUCGGAGUUGCUAGUAACCGCAGGUCAGCAUACUGCGGUGAAUACGUUCUCGGGCCUU